AAUCAACGCUGGCGGCGUGCCUCAGACAUGCAAGUCGAACGAUUAAAGCUCUCUUCGGAGAGUGUAUAGAGUGGCGCACGGGUGAGUAACACGUAAGUAAUCUACCUUUGAGUGGGGAAUAACCCGGGGAAACCCGAGCUAAUACCGCAUAAUGCAGCGGCACCGCAAGGUGACAGUUGUUAAAGGAGCAAUCCGCUUAAAGAGGAGCUUGCGGCAGAUUAGCUAGUGGUAAGGUAAUGGCUUACCAAGGCUUCGAUCUGUAUCCGGCCUGAGAGGGCGGUCGGACACACUGACACUGAAUAACGGGUCAGACUCCUACGGGAGGCAGCAGUCGGGAAUUUUGGGCAAUGGGCGAAAGCCUGACCCAGCAACGCCGCGUGAAGGAUGAAGUAUUUCGGUAUGUAAACUUCGAAAGAAUGGGAAGAAUCAAUGACGGUACCAUUUAUAAGGUCCGGCU
rnacentral:rRNA from 1 species